rnacentral:rRNA from 1 species
GAUAAACGCUGGCGGCGUGCCUUAUGCAUGCAAGUCGUACGUGAGACCGGCUUCGGCCGGUUGAAAGUGGCGAACGGGUGAGUAACACGUAGGAACCUGCCCGGAAGUGGGGGAUAACUCCGCGAAAGCGGGGCUAAUACCGCAUGUGGUCGCAAGACCAAAGCUUCGGCGCUUCCGGAGGGGCCUGCGGCGGAUUAGCUAGUUGGUGGGGUAACGGCCUACCAAGGCGACGAUCCGUAGCUGGUCUGAGAGGAUGGUCGGUCACACUGACACUGAAUAACGGGUCAGACUCCUACGGGAGGCAGCAGUCGGGAAUUUUGGGCAAUGGGGGAAACCCUGACCCAGCAACGCCGCGUGAAGGAUGAAGUAUUUCGGUAUGUAAACUUCGAAAGAAUAGGAAGAAUUAAUGACGGUACUAUUUAUAAGGUCCGGCUAACUACGUG